rnacentral:rRNA from 1 species
AUGCUCUUGCCGGUAAUGAUACACGGCAAGCGCCUAGUGGCCCUCGUGGAUACAGGCUCCACACAUAACUUCCUGCCCGAGGCUACAAUACGCCGCUUAGCGCUUCAGCCGACGGGCGGGGAGCAACUUCGGGUCACGGUGGCCAACGGCGAUCGUCUCUGGUGUCAUGGGCUCGCGCGGGACGUGCCCAUCACCAUCGGCGACGAGCACUUCUCCAUCAUGUGUGCGGGCAUCGACUUGGGCUGUUUCAACUUCAUCCUUGGAGUCGACUUCCUGCGGACCCUCGGUCCCAUCCUCUGGGACUUCGACGCCCUGACGAUGACUUUCUGGCGACUCGGCCGACGCAUCCGGUGGGAGGGCGUUGGGGGCGCCUCCCCGGUGACGCCACAGCUUCAGCUGGCGGCGGCCACCUUCGAGGCUGAGCACCCACUGUUGGAUCACCUCCUGCAGCAGCACGGUGACCUCUUCAUCGAUCCGCGGGGCCUUCCGCCAGCCCGGGUGUAUGAUCACCGCAUUCAUCUCCUGCCAGGCUCAGCACCAGUGGCACCGCUAUCUGCAGCUUCAGAAGGACGAGUUGGAACGGCAGUGCGCGCUCAUGCUCGCCGCGGGCAUCAUCCGGAUCUCCACAUCACCAUUCACCGCGUCAGUCCUCCUCGUCCACAAGUCAGACGACACGUGGCGUUUCUGCAUCAACUACCGCGCCCUUAA